rfam:Gossypium arboreum cultivar AKA8401 contig_17667_5, whole genome shotgun sequence.
GAUGGCAAGGAAUGAAUAUUUAUCUUAUCCUACACUCUGAUUAAACCAUAUAGAUUCAGAUCUUCGCUUAUUGAUAUUUUGAUGCCAUU